rnacentral:rRNA from 1 species
UCAGGCCUAACACAUGCAAGUCGAGCGGACAGAAGGGAGCUUGCUCCCGGAUGUUAGCGGCGGACGGGUGAGUAACACGUGGGUAACCUGCCUGUAAGACUGGGAUAACUCCGGGAAACCGGAGCUAAUACCGGAUAGUUCCUUGAACCGCAUGGUUCAAGGAUGAAAGACGGUUUCGGCUGUCACUUACAGAUGGACCCGCGGCGCAUUAGCUAGUUGGUGGGGUAAUGGCUCACCAAGGCGACGAUGCGUAGCCGACCUGAGAGGGUGAUCGGCCACACUGGGACUGAGACACGGCCCAGACUCCUACGGGAGGCAGCAGUAGGGAAUCUUCCGCAAUGGACGAAAGUCUAACGGAGCAACGCCGCGUGAGUGAUGAAGGUUUUCGGAUCGUGAAGCUCUGUUGUUAGGGAAGAACAAGUGCGAGAGUAACUGCUCGCACCUUGACGGUACCUAACCAGAAAGCCACGGCUAACUACGUGCCAGCAGCCGCGGUAAUACGUAGGUGGCAAGCGUUGUCCGGAAUUAUUGGGCGUAAAGGGCUCGCAGGCGGUUUCUUAAGUCUGAUGUGAAAGCCCCCGGCUCAACCGGGGAGGGUCAUUGGAAACUGGGAAACUUGAGUGCAGAAGAGGAGAGUGGAAUUCCACGUG